ACAAAUGGAAAUGACUGCUUCGUAGCCAGUUCUCAUUAUAUUUCUCUCCCAGGAGAUGUGAAAUUAGCACUAGGAGAAAUUCAGCAGUGGUUGGGAGUGAAGCCCAAGUCUCUGGCUGCCCCCACCAGGAGAGGGGAGCAGGGAGUCAGUGGGGCUGGCAGGAUCCUGCCCUCUCCAACAUGUCUCAGAAAGGCACAGAAGAAGAAGAAGAGGAAACUACUUGAACAGUACAGAGUUCAUGCAUCAUGGAUCCCUCCAGAGAGGUGCUGGCCAUGGGUCACGCUGACUGUUCUUGGAUUCCUGUACUGCUAUUCUCAUGUUGGAAUUGAAUGGGAGGAGAAUUAUGCUGCACAUUAGGAAUGAUGCAAACAAUUAUUCUUAAGGCAGGUUGAUGGUUUUUCUACACUGGAUAUUAUAUCUGCACAAGGGUGAGCCAGACCAAGUCUUCAGUCCAUGUAUUAAAACAAAAAGCUCAUUUAAUUGAUUCUGGAUUGCAAAUGCAGGAAUUGAACUGCAGAAACACUGAUGGGCUGCAGCAGGGGAUGGGGAGAAAUUAUGAAGCAUUUUGAAUUAUGUUAUUUUUGUAAAACGGCAUCUUUGUGACUGUGUACAUUAGAAGUGUGCAUUUCAGAACAGGCAUUUUAUAUAUGUUGAGGGUUGUUUUCAUAUUUUGCUGCCCAUUUUAAGAUAUUGAAGAAAAAAAAAAUAUUACCUUGGAGAAUUCAAAAAGCCCAAUCUCUCACAGGUGGUGUCCAGGGGCAUGUAGGGCUGUGCCCUGUACUUACACUACUCCAUGAAGGGCAUGAUGCUCAUCAGUUCUUCUUGACUGCUUUCUGAUAUAAGCUAGAACAUUUGGUAUUCUCGCUGACUUAUUUCUGCCUUAAGCUUCUUUUCCACCUACUGUAGCAAUGCCUGUUUUUUUCUUUUUAAUGUCUUAUUUUAAAAUUUUGCCUUUAAAAUAACACCUUUUUGGUAACCUUAGAAAUCUUUUUUUUUUCUUUAAAAAGAGAGAAUAGAGAGGAAGGUCUUUUCUUAAGGAGCACCUUUCUUAAGAAGCACCUUUCUUAAGAAAUCAAAUAUGCAUUUAAAGCUCCUAGGACUUUAAAUGCUCUCUGCCUUGUCUUAGAGCUAAAGCAUUAAAUACUACCUUUAUUUUGGGGCUAAUACCACCUUCAGACUGUUCAGUCUGCUUCUUGUAUU
rnacentral:lncRNA from 1 species